GCAGUUAGUUUUGGGGCUGGAAAUUUGAGCAGAGAGAAUGGCAGAGUCUUUUCAGGAGCCAGAAAUGCAUGUGAGGACCAAGAACUUCUAACAGUAGAGGAACUCUGGCUGGGGUAGUUGAGGGGGAGGAGAAAUGAGGAUCAAGGGGGCAUACAGUGCAUGAAAACAAAAGGUGAGGCCCAAGAUCAGCCAAAGUGAGUAAACCACGGUUACCAUGGCUACUCUUCAGUGGAGACGGAAGGAAGCCCUGUAUCCUCCCCUUCCAACCACACUACGCUGUUCCACUCCCCAUCUCCAUCUCCUGUACCCCAGACACACUCAGGCAAGCACAGCACCACCCUGGAUGACUCUGCGGAAUGCCUCUCAGAGACACGGAACUAGAAACCUAGGGGAAGAGGGACAUCAAGGCUUUUGCCUCACAAGCUGACUCUGGAACAAAGAGCCAGGCUGAGGGGCUGGAAGAAGAAACUUCCAGCAGAGCCACCCAGAUAUGCUUCCCCCACCCUCUAGACCUUCCACACCAACCAGUGUCCAGUCAGUCCACAGAGCAUCCUCCUGGGCUGUGGUGACUGAAGUUGAAGGGAAGAAAAUAUAAUAAUAAUUUUGGGCAGGUCGUCUUUCUUUACUGUAUUGGAUGGAUAUAGAAUCAAUAAAUCUAUAGGUUUAUCCCAUUUUUCUGAACAAAUUUAGAGGUCAAAGAUGAACCCUCAAGGGGACAGAAUAUGACCAGCAGGACUAUUGAUAUCGUCUGCCCUAGGCACUCCUCCUUACCCUCCUCUCCCCUAUAUUUUGGGGGCAGUCAUAUUCCUCAGCAGUCAGUUGCUCUGCCUCCAGUCCUAACUGGCUUCUGAAAAACAGUUCUGGUCCAUUCAUUCCCUGUCUCGAGACUUCCGGAGCUUCCUGACCUGUGAAUGAAAUCCACAGGCCCAUCACAAGAUGGCUGCGCUCUCCAGUCCCCGGCACCCCAGGCUGCUCUGAACAUGUGAGAGCUCCUCCCUCAAGGCCUGAAUUUUCGCAGGUCUUCAUCACACUCAGCCCGCCAUCAUUUUUUCAGAUUCAGUUCCAAUAUGUCACUCUGUCUGUAGAGCCUUCCCUGAAUCUCACAGACAAAUGCGGCAGUUCCCUUUGUGGGGGAUAUUCAUCAUGUUUUUCCUCAUUGGCCUAUGUUUUUGCCUCUUCUUGUAGAUGUCCAUCUAGGCUGGGAGCUCCUAGGGGGUAAACGCAGCCUCUCACUCACCUGGCACAGAGUCGAUGCUCAUGGAAUGAUACGUGAUGGGGAGAGUGAGUAAGUGAAUGAAUGAAUGAAUGCUAUUCUGGAAGGAAGAGGGAGAGAGGGAGCAGGGAAAGGUCAGAAGGGGGCCCAGAGUCUUCAGCACACAAUGUGGGUGUAUCACUGUGGCCAGGAACAAUUCGCUUCUCUGCCUGCAUUACUUUUUGGGAAAUGGGAGAGCUGAGGCUCAGUGUAGGCAAACUGGGUCCAGUCAGCAGGGAAGCCAUGAGCUCCACGGUUUAGGGGAGGAGUCCGGUGCUUAAGGAAGCUAUCACGUGGAAGAUCUCCCUGCCCUCCUCCUAUUGGUCUGUAUUGGUUUUUCUUCUUCACCAGUGGAGGCUUUUCUUCUCCCAGGAAGAAUCCAGAAUAGUUCAGACAAGCUUCAGGUCCGCCAGAACCGGGGAAAACAACGUGUAGGGUUUGUUUUAAAGGGCUUUUAAAUGGGGUUUGGGAGAUCCAGGUAGAUUAGAAUCUUGACUCUGCACUGGCUGUGCAAGACAGAAAUUCACCUUUCAAAACUUCUGUUCCCCAGUCUAUGCGGUAAGAAGUUUAGAUUAGCUGAUUUCUAGGGAGAUUUUGGGCAGGCAUGAUUCAGUUCCAUGAAGGGCUGUGGGACAGGACUGCACUAAGAGGUCCUAUAGAUUGGAUUCUUCAGUUCCCUCCCUUCCGCUGGAGAAUAGAGGAAUCUGCCUUCGCUGCACACUAGAUUUACCUGGAGAACAAAUGGAAAGCAGGCCAGGAUCCUGGGUGAAAUGUGGCACAUUUGAGGAGACUUCAACUUCCCUUGCCCUCCAGUGUGGUCUUUUCCCCACCCCCAGACAUGAAAGGGAAGCAGGUCACAAAGCCUUUCGGAUUAUAAAAGAAACACUUGCUUCUCACAAGGGGAGCAGCAGACUUACUCUGUACUAAAUGCCAGGAUAAGCCUCUGGCUGGGCCUCGACUGUGACCCUCCGGCCUCUUUCUACAGCUCUGCCUGGAUGGACUGGCCUAUCUCUGCUGGAUUCCCGAAGUGCAUUGUGUAGAGACAGCAACUCAGGUCAGGCUAAAAGCUCAAGCAAGCAAGCGCGCACACACACGCGCGCACACACACACACACACACACAAACACUCAGCUUCCUUAGGACAAGAUAAAAUCUUAGCAUUCCCCUCUCCCCGAUUAGGUAGGUCUCUGGGAGGACUAAGGCUUCAGGUGCAAGGCUCAGAUAACCUGCAGUGUCUCUCCAACUCUGGGAUGACAAAGACCUCACUUCCCUUUUCUGGUGUUCACACAACAAUGAGAAAGUACGGGUAGCCUGCAGAAAGACCUCUCCAUUCAUGGUCCCCCAGGGGUGUGGGUUCUGAGAGGUGGGACCAGCUGCCAGGCCCUUUCUCCAUUGGUUGAGUUCAGCAGGUAACCUGAAGCUUUGCUGAGAGGUGCAUAAAUAAAGAGUGAAACUAGUACCACCUCCUUGAAAUGGGCUGAGUCCCUCUUGCUCACCCUUGACUUGGAAAAACCAGUUUCUCUUUUAUUGUCUGUUACUAAUCUCUAUUCUAAAAAUUCAGCUCAAUUCUCAACCAUACUCCAAACUCUCUCUUUUCCAGCUACCUUUACUCCCUCUCCUUCAAUUCCACUUUCCUCUGCUUACUUUUUUUUUUUUUCUGACAGGGUCUCACUUUGUCGCCCGGGCAGGAGUGCAGUGGCUCAAUCUUGGGCUCACUGCAGCCUCAACCUCCCAGAGGCGGGGUUUCACCAUGUUGCCCAGACUGGUCUUGAACUCCUGAGCUUAAGCAAUCCACCUGCCUCGGCCUCCCAAAGUGUUGGGAUCACAGGCGUGAGCCACCGCAUCCGGCCUCAUGUUCUUUUUCAUUAAAGAGAGAAAUCAACUAUUCAGGACCGGCCCCCACCUUUCCUCAGGAGUCAUUUCUGUUCCGCACAGGCCUGCUGAACUGGGUGCUUUAUAUAGGACACUGUCAUCUCUCAAGUACCCAUCUUGGAGGGUACGGACCCCACAUGAGGAUUUCAGUGGAGUGAAGUUCAGGAGGCAUGGAGCUGACAACCAUGAGGCCUCGGCAGCCACCGCCACCACCGCCGCCGCCACCACCGUAGCAGCAGCAGCAGCAGCAGCAGCAGCAGCAGCAGCAGCAAGAGUAACUCUGACUUAGGAAUAGAGACAGCCAGAGAGAAAUGUGAUCAAUGAAGGAGACAUCUGGAGUGUGCGUGCUUCUUCAGAGGGACGGGUGAUGGGCAGAUUGGAAAAAGCACCGCAGAUGGGAACCUUAAUCUUUCUUUUCUAAAAUUGAUGCUAUGAAAAUUUGCGUUUUCUGUAACUUGUAAAAACUAAAAGUUGCUUGUCUACUGAAAAGCCUCUCUGCCUCUAUGUUUUAUACCAUCGGAUGCCAACUCCCGGCCUUCUAAGCCACCUCCCCUUUAGGCUAAAACUGAGACAUGAACUUGAAAAAUUGACACUGGCUUCCUCUCUCUUUAGGGUCCCCAGGCAGGUGGCUGGGACACUAUUUGCAAUCAGCAAGGAACCCUGCUGCCCUUAGACUCCCCACAGAGCAAGCAGAACUUGCAGAAUGGGGUAAAAACACUCUAUUAAAGAUUUUUUAAACCUAUUUAUAUUGUAAUAAAGUAAAUGUAAAUAAAAUUUAAGUGAAGGCAGAUUGCAGAUAUUUCCGAUGCUAUACAAGAUAUAUCUCAUAGUAUGGGUGUAGAUUCUGCAAAGGUUAAUGCAGUUAAACAUAUUUGACACAUAAAAAUGUCAGAUCCAACAUUAAUCAUUCACCAAUUGUAAUUGCCUUUCUAUGGGUCUCUUCUCCCCAAGACAUAGCUUAAAACACCAGGCUCGGUAGAAAUCUGGGAGGAAAAAAGCAAAUAAUACCUCUCAGCUGUCAGGGUCUAUGAUACGCUUUGAUAGAUUUAGCACUGAUUUCAUUCUCUUUACAAUUCAGUGUGAUUGGGUGUGCGUGUGUGUGUGUGUGUGUGUGUGUGUGUGUGUGUGUGUUACUCCAUGUUUCUCCUUUUUAAGGAAGGAGAAGGUGUGGAACAAGAGAAAGUUCCUAAGUCUGAAGGAAGUCCAACCCAGUUAUGAAGGGAAUGCCAUCCACAAGCCUUUUUUAUAAUUGGCCCCUGCCUCAGGUAAAGGGGUCUCCUUUAAGGAGCCAGUCUGGCUAAAUUGGCAGAUUCUGAACAAAGCCUGGCCCUGACAAGUCUUCAGAAAAACCGGUUUUCACCUCCAGAAUGUGCCCCAG
rnacentral:lncRNA from 1 species